GCUUAGGGCCGCGUAUAUCCAGCAGGGCGGCCUGGGAAAGGGAAGUCGUAAUUCCGGGCAAUGGAGGCUGCUUGUUUAACUUCGCCUCCUCGCCCGGGUGCCAGCAGGCUCUGGAGGCUUAGCAACUUGAUCAUGGCCGUCUUCUUCGGGCUGGCUGGAGCCGUUCAGAUCAAUGACCCUGAUCCUGGACUUUGGAUAGUUGUGUACUCUGUGCCAGCAAGUCUUGCACUGGUAGUAAGCCUUAAUCCAUCAGUUACAGGCUCUUGA
rnacentral:lncRNA from 1 species